UACGUAGGGUGCGAGCGUUGUCCGGAAUUAUUGGGCGUAAAGCGCUCGCAGGUGGUUCGUCGCGUCGUGCGUGAAAGACCCCGGCUCAACUGGGGAGGGUCGUGCGAUACGGGCGAACUGGAGGCCAGUAGGGGGAUGCGGAAUUCCGGGUGUAGUGGUGGAAUGCGUAGAGAUCCGGAGGAACACCAGCGGCGAAGGCGGCAUCCUGGACUGGUCCUGACACUCAGGAGCGAAAGCGUGGGGAGCGAUCCGG
rnacentral:rRNA from 1 species